GAGGGUAUAGCUCAGUGGUAGAGAGCAUGCUUACUUAGCAUGCCUGAGGUCCUGGGUUCAAUCCCUAGCACCUCCA
rnacentral:tRNA from 1 species